AGCGUACACGGUGGAUGCCCUGGCAGUCAGAGGCGAUGAAGGACGUGCUAAUCUGCGAUAAGCGUCGGUAAGGUGAUAUGAACCGUUAUAACCGGCGAUUUCCGAAUGGGGAAACCCAGUGUGAUUCGUCACACUAUCAUUAACUGAAUCCAUAGGUUAAUGAGGCGAACCGGGGGAACUGAAACAUCUAAGUACCCCGAGGAAAAGAAAUCAACCGAGAUUCCCCCAGUAGCGGCGAGCGAACGGGGAGCAGCCCAGAGCCUGAAUCAGUGUGUGUGUUAGUGGAAGCGUCUGGAAAGGCGCGCGAUACAGGGUGACAGCCCCGUACACAAAAAUGCACAUGCUGUGAGCUCGAUGAGUAGGGCGGGACACGUGGUAUCCUGUCUGAAUAUGGGGGGACCAUCCUCCAAGGCUAAAUACUCCUGACUGACCGAUAGUGAACCAGUACCGUGAGGGAAAGGCGAAAAGAACCCCGGCGAGGGGAGUGAAAAAGAACCUGAAACCGUGUACGUACAAGCAGUGGGAGCACGCUUAGGCGUGUGACUGCGUACCUUUUGUAUAAUGGGUCAGCGACUUAUAUUCUGUAGCAAGGUUAACCGAAUAGGGGAGCCGAAGGGAAACCGAGUCUUAACUGGGCGUUAAGUUGCAGGGUAUAGACCCGAAACCCGGUGAUCUAGCCAUGGGCAGGUUGAAGGUUGGGUAACACUAACUGGAGGACCGAACCGACUAAUGUUGAAAAAUUAGCGGAUGACUUGUGGCUGGGGGUGAAAGGCCAAUCAAACCGGGAGAUAGCUGGUUCUCCCCGAAAGCUAUUUAGGUAGCGCCUCGUGAAUUCAUCUCCGGGGGUAGAGCACUGUUUCGGCAAGGGGGUCAUCCCGACUUACCAACCCGAUGCAAACUGCGAAUACCGGAGAAUGUUAUCACGGGAGACACACGGCGGGUGCUAACGUCCGUCGUGAAGAGGGAAACAACCCAGACCGCCAGCUAAGGUCCCAAAGUCAUGGUUAAGUGGGAAACGAUGUGGGAAGGCCCAGACAGCCAGGAUGUUGGCUUAGAAGCAGCCAUCAUUUAAAGAAAGCGUAAUAGCUCACUGGUCGAGUCGGCCUGCGCGGAAGAUGUAACGGGGCUAAACCAUGCACCGAAGCUGCGGCAGCGACGCUUAUGCGUUGUUGGGUAGGGGAGCGUUCUGUAAGCCUGUGAAGGUGUGCUGUGAGGCAUGCUGGAGGUAUCAGAAGUGCGAAUGCUGACAUAAGUAACGAUAAAGCGGGUGAAAAGCCCGCUCGCCGGAAGACCAAGGGUUCCUGUCCAACGUUAAUCGGGGCAGGGUGAGUCGACCCCUAAGGCGAGGCCGAAAGGCGUAGUCGAUGGGAAACAGGUUAAUAUUCCUGUACUUGGUGUUACUGCGAAGGGGGGACGGAGAAGGCUAUGUUGGCCGGGCGACGGUUGUCCCGGUUUAAGCGUGUAGGCUGGUUUUCCAGGCAAAUCCGGAAAAUCAAGGCUGAGGCGUGAUGACGAGGCACUACGGUGCUGAAGCAACAAAUGCCCUGCUUCCAGGAAAAGCCUCUAAGCAUCAGGUAACAUCAAAUCGUACCCCAAACCGACACAGGUGGUCAGGUAGAGAAUACCAAGGCGCUUGAGAGAACUCGGGUGAAGGAACUAGGCAAAAUGGUGCCGUAACUUCGGGAGAAGGCACGCUGAUAUGUAGGUGAAGCGACUUGCUCGUGGAGCUGAAAUCAGUCGAAGAUACCAGCUGGCUGCAACUGUUUAUUAAAAACACAGCACUGUGCAAACACGAAAGUGGACGUAUACGGUGUGACGCCUGCCCGGUGCCGGAAGGUUAAUUGAUGGGGUUAGCGCAAGCGAAGCUCUUGAUCGAAGCCCCGGUAAACGGCGGCCGUAACUAUAACGGUCCUAAGGUAGCGAAAUUCCUUGUCGGGUAAGUUCCGACCUGCACGAAUGGCGUAAUGAUGGCCAGGCUGUCUCCACCCGAGACUCAGUGAAAUUGAACUCGCUGUGAAGAUGCAGUGUACCCGCGGCAAGACGGAAAGACCCCGUGAACCUUUACUAUAGCUUGACACUGAACAUUGAGCCUUGAUGUGUAGGAUAGGUGGGAGGCUUUGAAGUGUGGACGCCAGUCUGCAUGGAGCCGACCUUGAAAUACCACCCUUUAAUGUUUGAUGUUCUAACGUUGACCCGUGAUCCGGGUUGCGGACAGUGUCUGGUGGGUAGUUUGACUGGGGCGGUCUCCUCCUAAAGAGUAACGGAGGAGCACGAAGGUUGGCUAAUCCUGGUCGGACAUCAGGAGGUUAGUGCAAUGGCAUAAGCCAGCUUGACUGCGAGCGUGACGGCGCGAGCAGGUGCGAAAGCAGGUCAUAGUGAUCCGGUGGUUCUGAAUGGAAGGGCCAUCGCUCAACGGAUAAAAGGUACUCCGGGGAUAACAGGCUGAUACCGCCCAAGAGUUCAUAUCGACGGCGGUGUUUGGCACCUCGAUGUCGGCUCAUCACAUCCUGGGGCUGAAGUAGGUCCCAAGGGUAUGGCUGUUCGCCAUUUAAAGUGGUACGCGAGCUGGGUUUAGAACGUCGUGAGACAGUUCGGUCCCUAUCUGCCGUGGGCGCUGGAGAACUGAGGGGGGCUGCUCCUAGUACGAGAGGACCGGAGUGGACGCAUCACUGGUGUUCGGGUUGUCAUGCCAAUGGCACUGCCCGGUAGCUAAAUGCGGAAGAGAUAAGUGCUGAAAGCAUCUAAGCACGAAACUUGCCCCGAGAUGAGUUCUCCCUGACUCCUUGA
rnacentral:rRNA from 2 species